rnacentral:sRNA from 1 species
GCGAGGAUGAGAACCUCCGGGGGCGGGAGGUUCGACCCGAGCGAAGCGAGAGAACGUUGCGCGAGCCACGGCCCGCAGGGCGAGCCAUCCUCUCAUUGCUGACA